UGGGGGAUAUUGCACAAUGGGCGCAAGCCUGAUGCAGCGACGCCGCGUGGGGGAUGAUGGCCUUCGGGUUGUAAACUUCUUUUGCUCUGAACAAGGCGCACUUUGGGGUGUGUUGAGUGUAGGGGUUGAUUAGCGCCGGCUAACUACGUGCCAGCAGCCGCGGUAAUACGUAGGGCGCGAGCGUUGUCCGGAAUUAUUGGGCGUAAAGGGCUUGUAGGUGGCUGGUUGCGUCUGUCGUGAAAGCUCAUGGCUUAACUGUGGGUUUGCGGUGGGUACGGGCUGGCUUGAGUGCAGUAGGGGAGGCUGGAAUUCCUGGUGUAGCGGUGGAAUGCGCAGAUAUCAGGAGGAAUACCGGUGGAGAAGGCGGGUCUCUGGGCUGUUACUGACACUGAGGAGCGAAAGCAUGGGGAGCGAACAGG
rnacentral:rRNA from 1 species